rnacentral:rRNA from 2 species
UUGCGGAGGGAUCAUU